rnacentral:rRNA from 1 species
AUACGGAGGGGGUUAGCGCUGUUCGGAAUUACUGGGCGUAAAGCGUACGUAGGCGGACUGGAAAGUUGGGGGUGAAAUCCCGGGGCUCAACCCCGGAACUGCCUCCAAAACUUCCAAUCUCGAGAUCGAGAGAGGUGAGUGGAAUUCCAAGUGUAGAGGUGAAAUUCGUAGAUAUUUGGAGGAACACCAGUGGCGAAGGCGGCUCACUGGCUCGAUACUGACGCUGAGGUACGAAAGCGUGGGGAGCAAACAGGAUUAGAAACCCUUGUAGUCC